AAGCCCUAUGCUCCUCCUCCUCCCAUGCUGGCCGCCAACAGUCGCCUCGUCCCCUGCUCACCGACUUGGACUCGAAGUGAUUCUACACUCACAGAGUGGCGCAAUGAGACUGAAAGGCAGGAGAAAGGAAGGAAUGCAGUGGAAGAGGCCACACUCCGUUGAGGGAUUUGGGGAGGAGACGCGGGAGUUGAGAUAGAACCUCACUUUUUUUUUGAGUAACACACACCUCACUUUUUUUUUUGAGAAAACACACACGCCUCACCUUUUUUUUAGGGCUUCACACACCUCACCUCGGCAGUGUACUCACCGAGUCCCCGCUUCCAAGCCCAUCUGUCUCCCCUAUGUGGACCAGGCCCACAAAGUACGGGCCAGUCCCUCGCCCGGACGACACAGGGUUACACGUCAAGUGCGGCCCGCUCCGCGUACCCAUCGCGCUCCCGUACGAGACUGACACGGCCGGGGAACGCUCCCAGAUCGCCGCCGCAUAGCCUUCCGCCGCCGGGUUCGACGAGGGAGCCAGGGCACGCAAGGCGGCCUAUAGCCUAUAGGGAGAGUAGGUCGUGGAUUUUCGGGGAUGCGGCCCAGAGGCGCGGCAACGUCGUGGGUUGUGGGGCGGACGCGCAUCUCUACGACGACCUGGACGCCGCCGCCAUCCCGGCGCUCCUCGGCUCCUGCUUCGACGGCGAUAACGUCGAUGCUCAAGCCUGUACCAGCUCCACUACGCCGCGAAGCCAUGGUUCUUCCAUCCCACACUUAUCUUCUCAAGGAAACACACAUCAGUAUUCUUCAUAUGGUGGUGGAUACUAGAGUGGUAGUACAACAAAAAGGAUUGAUAUCCCAAAUGGAAGGUUGGUGUUAUCAUUGGAAAUGCUGGAGAAACUAUAAAGCAUAUCCAACUUUAGUCAGGGGCAAAGAUAAGUAACAAGGGACAUGGAUGUUCAACCCGGAUCACGGACAAGAUUGGCUGAUCUUUUGGGCACCCUGACCAGAUAAGCAGAGCUGAGCAGUUGAUAAGUGAUGUUUUUGCAGAGGCUGAUGCUGGCUCAUUUGGCACUAUCUCUAGUUGUGUUGAGCAAUUCUAGAUGCAAAUUGCUAACAACAAGGUAAGCUGGCUGCUUUCUUGACGAGAUAGUCAAAGAUGUUCGAUAGAUUAUGAAAAUUUAUGUCUAGUAAAUGAGCAUGGUGGUUAUUAUAUUGGUGGAUAAAUGGAUCUUUAAUAAACUUGAAGCAAUUUGGAUUUAGUUAGGUGAUUAUGAUCUUGCACCAAAUUUCAUGGUGGAUUAUGAGAUUUUGAUGCAUUUAUUUAGUUCAUUGUGAUCUUGAGGAGAUAGUCAAAGAUGUUCGGUGGAUUAAUUAAUCUUGGACAAUUUGGAUUUAGUUAGGUGAUUGUGAUAUUGAACCAUAUUUAUGAUAAAUUAUGAGAUUUUAGGUGGAUUUAGUUACGUGAUUUAAUCUUGAGAAGAUAGUAAAAAAUGUUUUGUGGAUUAUGAGAUUUUAGGUAUGGUAGAUGAGCGUGUUGAUUAUUAUAUUGGUGGAUAAAUAGAUCUUUAAUUUUGUUUGGAACAUUUUUGAUUUAGUUAAGUGAUUGCGAUCUUAAACCAAAUUUCACGGUGGAUUAUGAGGUUUUGAUUGGAUUUAGUUAGGUGAUUGUGAUCUUGACGAGCUCGUAAAAGAUGUUCGGUGGGUUAUGUGAAUUUAGGUCUAGUAGGUGAGCAUGGUGGUUAUUUUAUUGGUGAAUAAUAAAUUUUUAAUAAACUUGAGAAAUUUUGGAUUUAGUUAGGCGAUUGUGAUCUCGAACCAAAUUUCAUGGUGGAUUACGAGAUUUUAGAAAGAUUUAGUCGGUUGAUUGUGAUCUUGAGGAAAUACUCAAAGAUAUUCGAUGGAUUGAUUAAUCUUGAACAAUUUGGAUUUAUUAGGCUAUUGUGAUAUUGAACCGAAUUUCACAAUGAUUUAUGUGAUUUUAGGUGGAUUUAGUUAAGUUAUUAUGAUCUUGGGAAGAUGGUCAAAGAUGUUGGGUGGAUUUUAAGAUUUUAUGUCUAGUAUGUGAGCAUGAUGACUAUUAUAUUGGUGGAUAAACAAACCUUUAAUUUAGUUUGAAACAAUUUGAAUUUAGUUUGGUGAUUUUGAUCUUUUAACCAAAUUCGCGGUGGAUUUUGAUGUUUGGGUUGGAUUUAGUUAGGUGAUUGUGAUCUUGAUGAGGUAGUCAAAGAUGUUUGAUGGAUUAUGUAAGAAUUUAUGUCUAGUAGUGAGCAUGGUGGUUGUUAUAUUGGUGGAUAAAUGGAUAUUUAGUAAACUUGGAGUAAUUUGGAUUUAGUUAGGCGGGUGUGAUCUUGAACCAAAUUUCAUGGUAAUUACGAAAUUUUUAAAUGGAUUUAAUUAGUUAAUUGAGAUCUUGAGGAGAUAGUCAAAGAUGUUCGUUGGAUUAAUUAAUCGUGAACAAUUUGGACUUAGUUCGGUGAUUGUGACAUUGAACCAAAUUUGUCGGUGAUUUAUUUGAUUGUGGGUGGAUUUAGUUAGGUGAUUGUGUCUUAAGAAGAUAGUUAAAAUGUGUGGUGGAUUAUGAGAAUUUAGGUAUGUUAAAUGAGCAUAUCUUAUGGGAAAUGAUUCCCUUCAACCGACAUAUCUUAUGCGAGCGUCCACCACCUCCAUGUCUGUUAGAUGGGCUUCAUUAGACAGUCUGGAGCAACUGGUCCAUUGUUUUAGAAAGAGAUUCUGCAACUAGCCCCUUUUUGCAAAUCGACGAAGAGCUAAAUCUCCAGGGGCUAGAUCCCGCAACAUGACUUAUGUUGCAAAACAAAUCCCACAACACGACGCAUUCUGCAAAAAAAAUCUGCAACACAACCCAUGUUGCAAAACAAAUACCACAAACACAACCUAGUUUGCCCAAAAAAAAGCAACAUAACCUCUGUUGCAAAUGUCUCCGCAACAAGACAUCUGUUGUUAAAAAUAUCCACCGGCUAACGUGUAGCAGCCCCCUUAUUAUAUUGGUGCAUAAACAAAUCUUUAAUUUAGUUUGGAACAAUUUGGAUUUAGUUAGGUGAUUGUGAUCUUUCAACCAAAUUCAUGGUGUUUUGCGGUUUGUUGGAUUUAGUUAGGUGACAGUGAUCUUGACGAGAAAGUCAAAGAUGUUUGGUGAAUUAUGUUAAUUUUGUUCUAGUAAGUGAGCAUGGUGGUUAUUAUAUUGGUGGAUAAAUGGAUCUUUAGUAAACAUGGAGCAAUUUGGAUUUAGUUAGGCGAUUGUGAUCUUGAAAAAAAAUUCACGGUGGAUUACGAGAUUUUCAAUGGAUUUAGUUAGUAGAUUGUGAUCUUAGGGAGAUGUCAAAGAUGUUCAGUGGAUUAAUUAAUCUUGAACAAUUUGGAUUUAGUUAGGUGAUUGUGAUAUUGAACUAACUCCGCCUAUGGUGUCUCAACAUAGCCGGUCCAAGCCCUGGUAAAGGAGGAGGGUUGUGAUAGGCUGGCGAGCCAACAUAAAAACUCAGCCACUCUUAUGGAGAUGAAACCCAAAAGAUUUUUGUUGGGACGUAACCCUCUCAGCGGCGUGCCACAUCGGAACCUGGGGUGGUGUCAAAUGGGCAAGGGCCAGGUUGUCACCCCUCCGAUGGCACGCCGUAUCUUGAUCUGGAUAUGGUGGCAAGUGAGCGAGGAUCGGGUCGUCGCAUCCUUAGUGGCGCGCUACAUCGGCACCCUGAUGUAGUGGAAAAUGAGCAAGGGUCUUCGCAUUUGACUCGACGAGUGCGAAGGGUAAGGAAGCUAGCCGAGCCUAGGAGGAUCUGCUUAGGUACCUGGAACAUAGGGUCUCUGACAGGGAAGCUUCGAGAGCUAGUUGAUGCAGCGGUGAGGAGAAGUGUUGAUAUCUUUUGCGUCCAAGAAACCAAAUGGAGAGGACAGAAGGUGAAGGAGGUGGAGGAUACCGGCUUCAAGUUGUGGUACACGGGGACAGUUACAAACAGAAAUGGCGUAGGCAUCUUGAUCAACAAGAUUCUCAAGUAUGGAGUGGUAGACGUCAAGAGAUGUGGGGGCAUGAUUAUCCUGGUCAAGCUGUUAGUUGGGGACUUAGUUCUCAAUGUUAUCAGCGCAUAUGCCUCGCAAGUAGGCCACAAUGAGAACACCAAGAGGAAGUUCUGGGAAGGCCUGGAGGACAUGGUCAGGAGUGUACGGAUUGGCGAGAAGCUCUUCAUAGGAGGAGACCCUCAAUGGCCACGUGGGUACAUCUAACAUAGGUUUUGAAGGGGUGCAUGAGGGCUUUGGCUAUGGCAUCAGGAAUCAAGAAGGAGAAGAUGUCUUAAGCUUUGCUCUAGCCUACGACAUGAUCGUAGCUAACACCCUCUUUAAAAAGAGAGAAUCACUUCUAGUUGCUUUUAGUAGUGGUCAACACUCUAGCCAGAUUGAUUUCAUCCUCUCGAGAAGAGAAGAUAGGCGUGCGUGCUAGUCAAAGAUGUCUGGUGUAUUAUUUAAUCUUCAACAAUUUGGAUUUAGUUAGGUGAUUGUGAUAUUGAACCAAAUUUCUCCGUGAUUUAUGAGAUUUUAGUUGGAUUUAGUUAGGUGAUUGUGUCUUGAGAAGAUAGUAAAAAAUGUUUGGUGGAUUAUGAGAUUUUAGGUCUAAAAGAUGAGCAUGGUGAUUAUUAUAUUGGUGGAUAAACAUAUAUGUAGUUUAAUUUGGAUUUAUUUAGGUGAUUGUGAUUUUCACCUAAUUUUACUGUGGAUUAUAAGGUUUUGGUUGGAUUUAGUUAGGUGAUUAUGAUUUUAGCGAGCUAGUAAAAGAUGUUCGGUGGCUUAUGUGAAUUUUGGUUCUAGUAGGUGAGCAUGUUGAUCAUUACAUUGGUGGAUAAAUGGAUCUUCAGUAAACAUGGAGAAAUUUGGAUGAGUUAGGCGAUUGUGAUCUUGAACAAAUUUCAUGGUGGAUUAUGAGACUUUCAACAGAUUUCGUUGAUUGUGAUCUUGAGGAGAUAGUCAAAGAUGUUCGGUGGAUUAAUUAAUCUUGAACAAUUUGGAUUUGGUUAGGUGAUUGUGAUAUUGAACCAAAUUUCUUUGUGAUUUAUGAGAUUUAAGUUGGAUUUAGUUAGGUGAUUGUGUCUUGAGAAUAUAAUCAAAGAUUUUUGGUGGAUUAUGAGAUUUUAGGUGUAAUAGAUGAGCAUGGUGAUUAUUAUAUUGGUGGAUAAAUAGAUAUUUAAUAUAGUUGGAACAAUUUGGAUUUAGUUCGGUGAUUGUGAUCUUUUUAACCCGAUUUUACGAUGGAUUAUAAGGUUUUGGCUGGAUUUAGUUAGGUGAUUGUAAUUUUGACAAACUGGUAAAAGAUGUUCGAUGGAUUAUGUGAAUUUAGAUUUAGUGGGUGAGCAUUUUGAUUAUUAUAUUGGUGGAUAGACAUGAGGGCCACGCAAAGUGACUUAAGGCGGUGAUGCCACUACUGAAAAUAACUAGCAAACAAGGUAAUAAAGGUGGAGAGACUAGGGGUAGUGGCAUUAGAUGGACUUGACAUCUUACGUGCCUGUGCACUCUUCUUUCCUCGCUGAUCUGGCUUGGUGUCCUUGUUCUGUUUGCGGGUUUUGUGUCACGCACUUGAUUAAGCAUCCCACGUUCUCCUACUGUGCGCCCUUGACCUUGACGAUAGGUAGCGCCGUGUUCUUGGGCACGUCUCGUGGGUAAAAUCCAGGUAUGCGCCGAUUGUCUGAGCUCUUGCUCUCCAUUGGUGGUGCUUGAGCGUGCGGUUAUGGUGGCAUCCAGCAAGGGAACACGUGAUGUGGGAUCAAGACAGCACACAUAGCAACCCGCCACCAGGCAACAGAUGCCCAUCCGGACUUCCAGGGAGCGAAGGUGGACACAAAGGUGGAUGUUGAGCUCCAUAGCAGUCUCAAUCGUGUGUUAAUCAAUAAGAGCAGCACAAGCAAGAAGAUCCUGAAUAUACUUCUCUUAGGAAAUAAAAAAGCCAUUAGAGGUAAAAGAAACCUCAAUCUCAAGGAAGUAGCGACUUCUUUAGUAAACAUGGAGCAAUUUGGAAUUAGUUAGGCAAUUGUGAUCUUGAACAAAUUUCAUGAUGGAUUAUGAUUUCGAGAUUUCGUUGAUUGUGAUCUUGAGGAGAUAGUCAAAGAUGCUCGAUGGAUUAUUUAAUCUUGAACAAUUUGGAUUUAGUUAGGUGAUUGUGAUAUUGAAUCAAAUUUCUUUGUGAUUUAUGAGAUUUUAGUUGGAUUUAGUUAGGUGAUUGUGUCUUGAGAAUAUAAUCAAUUUUUUUUGGUGGAUUAUGAGAUUUUAGGUGUAAUAGAUGAGCAUAGUGAUUAUUAUAUUGGUGGAUAAACAGAUGUUUAAUUUAGUUUGGAACAAUUUGGAUUUAGUUCGGUGAUUGUGAUCUUUCAGCCUAAUUUUACGAUGGAUUAUAAGGUUUAGUUAGGAGAUUGUAAUUUUGACAAGCUAGUAAAAGAUGUUUGAUGGAUUAUGUGAAUUUAGAUCUAGUAGGUGAGCAUUUUGCUUAUUAUAUUGGUGGAUAGAGAUGAGGGCCACACAAGUGACUUAAGGCGAUGAUGCCACUACUGAAAAUAACUAGUAAACAAGGCGAUAGAGGUGGAGAGACUGGGGGUAGUGGCAGUAGAUGGACUUGACCCGGCAUCUUACGUGCCUGAGCACUUUCCGUUCCUCGCUGAUCUGGCUUGGUGUCCUUGUCCUGUUUGUGGAUUUUGUGUCACGCACUUGAUUAAGCAUCCCACGUUCUACUGUGCGCCCUUGACCUUGACGAUAGGUAGCGCCGUGUUCUCGGGCGCGUCUCGUGGGUAAAAUUCAGGUAUGCGCCGAUUGUCCGAGCUCUUGCUCGCCAUUGUUGGUGCUUGAGCGUGCGGUUAUGGUGGCAUCCAGCAAGGGAACCCGGGAUGUGGGAUCAAGACAGCACACAUAGCAACCCGCCACCAGGCAACGGAUGCCCAUCCGGACUUUCCAGGGAGCGGAGGUGGACACAAAGGUAGAUGUUGAGCUCCAUAGCAGUCUCAAUAGUGUGCUAAUCAAUAAGAGCAGCAUAAGCAAGAAGAUCCUGAAUAUACUUCUCUUAGGAAAUAAAGAAGCCAUUAGAGGUAAAAGAAACCUCAAUCUCAAGGAAGAAGCGACUUCUUUAGUAAACAUGGAGCAAUUUGGAAUUAGUUAGGCGAUUGUGAUAUUGAACAAAUUUCAUGAUGGAUUACGAGAUUUUUCAAUGGAUUUAGUUGAUUGUGAUCUCGAGGAGAUACUUUUUCUUAACAAUAGUCAAAGAUGUUUGGUGGAUUAAUUAAUCUUGAACUUUGUGAUUAAUGAGAUUUUAGUUGGAUUUAGUUAGGUGAUUGUGUCUUGAGAUGAUAAUCAAAGAUGUUUCGUGGACUAUGAGAGGUCUAGUAGACGAGCAUGGUGAUUAUUAUAUUGGUGGAUAAACAGAUAUUUAAUUUAGUUUGGAACAAUUUGGAUUUAGUUAGGUGAUUGUGAUCUUUUAACCUAAUUUAUGGUGGAUUAUAAGGUUUUGGUUGGAUUUAGUUAGUUUAUUGUGAUUUUAACGAGCUAGUAAAAGAUGUUCGGUGGAUUAUAUGAAUUUAGGUCUACUAGGUGAGCAUGUCAAUUAUUAUAUUGGUGGGUAAAUUUAUCUUUAAUAAAUUUGGAAUAAUUUGGAUUUACUUAGGCGAUUGUGAUCUUGAACCAAAUUUUAUGGUGGAUUAGGAGAUUUUUGAUGGACUAGUUAGUUGAUUGUGAUCUUGAGAUAGUCAAAGAUGUUUGGUGGAUUAAUUAAUCUUGAACAAUUUGGAUUUAGUUAGGUGGUUGUGAUACUGAACCAAAUUUCACGCUGGAUUAUGAGAUUUUAGUUGGAUUUAGUUAGGUGAUUGUGUCUUGAGAUGAUAAUCAAAGAUGUUUGGUGGAUUAUGAGAUUUUAGGUCUAGUAGAUGAGCAUGGUGAUUACUAUAUUGGCGAAUAAACAGAUAUUUAAUUUAGUUUGGAACAAUUUGGAUUUAGUUAGAUGAUUGUGAUCUUUUGAGCAAUUUUUACGGGGCAUUAUGAGGUUUUGGUUGGAUAUAGUUAGGUGAUUGGGAUCUUGACAAGCUAGUAAAAGAUGUUCAGUAGAUUAUGUGAAUUUAGGUCUACUAGUAGGUGAGCACGUUGGUUGUUUUAUUGAUGGAUAAAUAAACUUUUAAUAAACUUGAAAAAGUUUGAAUUUAGUUAGGUGAUUGUGAUCUUCAACCAAAUUUUAUGAUGGAUUAUGAGAUUUUUUAUGGAUUAGUUAGUUGAUUGUGAUCUUGAGGAUAUAGUCAAAGAUGUUCGGUGUAUUAAUUAAUCUUGAAAGUUUUGGAUUUAGUUAGGUGAUUGUGAUAUUGAACCAAACUUCUCUGUGAUUUAUGAGAUUUUAGUUGGAUUUAGUUAGGUGGUUGUGUCUUGAGAAGAUAGUCAAAGAUGUUUGGUGGAUUAUGAGAUUUUAGGUCUAAUAGAUGAGCAUGGUGAUUAUUAUGUUGGUGGAUAAAUGAAUCUUUAAUAAAUUUGGAACAAUUUGGAUUUAGUUAGGCGCCGUGAUCUUGAACCAAACUUUAUGGUGGAUUGUGAGAUUUAGUUCGGCUGCGCUCUGACUCUUCGUCGAGGAGCAUGCGCAGUGCGGUGGUGCGGUGGCCUCAGAAGGUGGGGCGCCGACACCUGCAGCUUGUGCACAGUGGCGAGUCCACGCAUCUCCUGCGCCCCGCAACCUUCUCCUUCCCGGCACAGUAGGAGCAGGAGCAAGGAUGCCGAGGCGGUUCAGUCGCGAGGAAGAGUAGGAAGAUCAGGCAGAGAGGGUUUCACAUACCUCUUCUACACUGACAAGUCUUCGCUUUCCAGGAUUGCCAUGUGGGAAGGGAUGAAUUGAACAAGGAGGUAGGACGACGUGUUUGUUCUUCAACCAUGCCCCUCUGAAACCUAGAAAAUUGGGGGAAAUCAUGGCUAGAGCAUAUGUGAACUUGGCCUCCGGUCAUUUUAGUCAGAUUAUGCUUCACUGUCAACUAUCUGCUGUAGAAGAACCAGAGCUGUCUGGGAUGAGGAUGUCAUCCUGCCAGCUUGCCGACGACGACAACAAAGAAAAUAGGUUGGCCAAGCUGCUAGGACAAAUAUGAAGACUAACUGGUGAGUAGUGUAAGUGAACAUUGUUUGCUGUUUUUCUUUCCGGUGUGGGUUUACUAAACUUUCUAUGUAUGAAUUUCCCCUCAUAUUUUCUUCCUGGGUUGAUAAAAACUGAACAAUAUAAUUAAAUCUCUCGUGUCCAA